rnacentral:rRNA from 1 species
AUGUCUGUACUAUGUGCCAGUGUAGUUGUACUGAUACUUUGGGUUCAUCCGUGCAGCAGAGGACAAGGGCUUCAUGGCCAACCAAGGCGCAUGGUGCUCGCAAGCGACGAAUGGAGGUUGUUCGACAUAGGCACGGAGGAGGAGGAGGGGCACGGACGAAGGAGGACAGAGCACCUCUCUUCUUCUAGGUUCUUCUCCAUACCUUCACUUCUUGUAUGUGCCUGUGCUGCAACUCACCCAUGGUCUUGUUUUUCCUGCAGGUGCCACCGGACGCAAGGGUGGAGCCUAUGCCUCCUUGCUGAAGCUUCUCGCUCUACACCAGUUUAUGGUGCUGCGGAUGUGGUUAAGAUGGCGUUCUACACUAUGCUUCUUAUGUUGCAUGUGAAUGGGUGUGAGUAG